UUGCCUCGGUAAACAUGGCGGCCAUCACGUGACUAUAGGGGGUCAGAACUAGACGCACUAGUCUCAAGUGGUGGCGGCGGCGAGGGGGGGGGGGCGAUUACCGUAAUUUAUACAUAUACCACGCACCUCCUGCUCUGUAGUGCAUCUGAUCAGCUGUUACCCAGUUGCGGGUGGUGGUGUCAUUGCCACUCUCUCCAUUCGAGGGCAGUCCCGCGGCCUCUUGAUGGGUUUUGAGAUGACUGUGGAGUCCAGUCCUUGAUCCCACAGAAGUUAGAGGUCUUUCCUUAGAGGAGAGCAGGCUGCAGGUUGGGGCUCCUCUCCUCUUCUUUUCUCUUCUCUGCUUCGAGAGCGAGACAUGUCACCUCAAAAGGGGCUGCCGCUUGGUGGAGGUUGCGGCGCCACUGGAGUCGCUGAGCAGUCGGCUUCUCCCAACUCUUGCUGUUGACAUCCAUUGUCUUGAGGGACGCCUGCCAUGCCUCCUUGUCCUGUUUCCUCGGCCGCUGCCACGAGAUCUCAGGCUGCGACUGACCUGGGAGCAGAGCACUUGUUUUGGGAGUCAAGAGUCAGGCCUUUAUGCACAGUGUCUGGUCCAGUGAAGUUGGUGCGUGAGGAUCUCCAACUCCAUGCUAGUAAUAUUGGCUUUGGCAAGGAUGCUGCAGUUCCACUGUGAUCUUCCCAUUGAAUGCAAAGGAUUUUCUGGAGGCAGCAUCAGUGACACCUCUCCCGGCUCUUGAGAUGACAAUGGAUCUGCUCUCUGCUGCCGUAUGACACAGGAGACUGGGCAAGAUGGACCUAGGGUCUGACCAAGGAUGUGCAGUUCAUAUGUUCUUAUGUUCUUGAAAGUGUUAAGGCUGAUUAACUGGAAGGCAGGUAUAACAUCCCAUCACUUGACACAGCCACCCCAGAGGGUUCCUUCUUGUGUGUCAUUCUGUUUUCCUAACACUCCUACGCUGUCCCCGUGUGAACCAACAAUUAAAGGAAACUGCUGUGCACACACGCACACACGCAGCUCUGUUGUCUUAUGGAGCAGAGAUGUUACUCACGCGUUCAAGCAUGCAGUGGGGGGUUAGGGAUUUCCAGAGACUCCCCUGGUGCCUGGGACUCUCCAUGUCUUCCUUGUUGGCAGUGUGAUGUGGUUGUGUGAAGCUGAAGGCUUCCUGAGCUGUGCUGCAGUACGUAAGACCUGCCAUUUUCCGAGUCAGACCCUAGGUCCAUCAUGCCCAGUCUCUUGUGUCACACCAGGGCAGAGAGGAGGUGAUGAAAGGGAAAGUGAACUGGGUCUGACCAGGGUUUUUCCCCCUGUUCCUCUCCCACUUGCAGUCUCCAGCAUUUAAGGUCUGGGGAGUUCUAAUUCAGAGACAUUGCCCCUUGCUGCCAUGCUCAAUAGCUACUGAUGCCCCUUUCCUCCAAGAACAUGUCCAGUCUUCUGUGAAUCUGGCUAAACUCUCAGUUUCCACUACAUCUGGUGGCAGCAGGUCCUACCUUUUAAUGCCACACUGGGUGAAAAAGAACUGUCUUGUGUUCAUUUUAAAUUAUCUGCUAGUUUCACAUUGUGACCCUAUGUGUGGGGAUGUGGCUCAGUGUUGACUUUCUCUGCUACUCUCAGCCCAGCUAUGUCAAGAGGCAGAAGCCACCCUCUGACUAGAGAUGGACCAGAUGUGCUGGAAGCUAGGGGGUUUGAUGCUUUCCAAUCCCUUUGGAGCUCCUCCUGUUUCCCCUGUCACUCGCCCCACCUCUCCCCAACUCCCCACAUCUUUGAUUUCCCCUCAAUCUCUUCGGCUUUUCUAUCAUUUAAUCCUUCUACUAAUUACGCCCUUCCCCCCCACAUAUACACACACACUGAUUCACCUCCAUCCCCUAUGGUCUGCUCCUGCUUAUUGCUGCCUACAUGUCCCUCACCUUAUAACUCUGGUGGCCCCCACCUUUUCCCUGUUGCCCCAUAGCAUCAGCAGAGUGGGGAGACCAGGGCACUGACUUUGUUUGUGGGGGAGGGUGGAAAAUAUCAGCUGCCGUCUAAGAUGCACAGAUGUGCCAGCAACGCAGCUGCCCCAGGGGCCUGGCUGCUUCAUUAUGCCUCUGCUGUUGCUCUCCACCUGUAGCUGCAACUCUUUGCACCUGUCCCUCUUGGGGCUCUUGAUUUCUUCCAUCACCCUGGGGAGUUCUGUUAAUAACACAGUGAGCCCUGCUUCCUCUGCCUAGACCCAGCACCUGGCUGUUGGGUUUCCAAGCCUCCUUGUCAAAGAAAGCUGGAUUUUUGCAUCCAUUGAGCUUGAAGGAAAUUUGCCUCCAGGGAGAGGUGCAGUUCCCAGCCUGGCUGGUUGAUUUGCUCAAAUCAUCUCCCUAACUCAAUCCAAGCAUCUCUGCCUCUUAUUUAGGAAACCUUAGAAGACCCAGAGUGGGUGGGAAGGAAGCGGUGAUGGCAGAGGCAGCAAGAAGGAGCCAGGAGGCCAGCACUCACUGGUGCAAGCAGAGGGGAAUGGGGAUGUCCUUGGCAGGACUGGGGGAGCAGGUCAGUUAACAUAAGAACUGCCAUUUAUUGGGUCAUCUCCAUCUUCUCCAGUCUCCUGCGUCUCAGUGGCAGAGAACAGGUGUUGAAAGGGAGAGUAAAUUGGGCAUGACCAGGGUUUUUUCCCUUGGUCCUCUCCCACUUGCAGCCUCCAGCAUUUAAUGUCUAGGAAGUUCUGAUUCAGAGGCCAUGCCCCUCACUCCCAUGCUCAAUAGCUAGCAGUGACCUUUUCCUGCAAGAAUGUGCCUAAUCCCCUUCUGGGUCUGACAAAACUCUCAUCUUCUACCACAUCUGGUGGCAAUGAGUUCCACCCUUUAAUGACAUGCUGGGUGAAAAAGAACUGCCUUGUGUUCAUUUUAAACCAAUGACUUACUAGCUUCACACCCUACUAGUUGUGACCCUUCGUUCCUAUCUGGUGAGAGUCGAUAAUAAAUUCCUAUGGACUUUCUCUUCA